rnacentral:lncRNA from 1 species
UAAGGAAGCUCAAUUCAGAUUUUAGAGACUUUGAAAGAGAAAACAAAUUCAGAAAAAAAUCAAAACAGCUAAUUUUUUUUAAAAAGAUAAUGCUCCAUUGAAUUUUCUUUGAUGAAUUUUGAAGUUUUCCAUCUCUGGUUUAGUUUGGGGCUAAAAUGGUUUGAGUUUUGGGUCUGUGGAAGCUUGGUUUGAACUAUUUUGGUUCGAAUACUGUUUCAUUGCAGAGAUCAAAAUUGAGUUUUGUCGUUAUUGAUUGUUAAUCCUUCACUUCUUUUGCUUCCUUUUGUAAUUCCAACUAUUUCUUCAAACCAUUGUCAACCAUGAUGUGCUACAAGUUAGAACCAGACUGAAUCUAUUUGAAGACCUGGGAAUUUGAGUUGGGAUUUAAAUAGAAGCACUAGUAAUUGCUGAGUUGUUGUUAGAUCCUCUUGUUUUUGUCAUUAAGUUCCCUAUUUUGCAAUAAUUUAGUUUUCUCUACUAUGUAGUCUGCUUAUUCAUGUUCAAUGGUCUAAGGCUGUUUGAUUAUUUAGAAUAACCCCUUAAAGUUUGUAAAUCCUUAUUUAUUGAAGCUUUAGCUUUCUGGGCUAUUUAAAAGAGAGUAUGACAUGUUGAGCACAUUAGGCUUGUCUGCUGGGCCAAUAGCUCAUUUGUUUAUCACUGGAUUUAUCUCAUGGCAGGUUAAGAUGCAAAAAUGCAUAAAAGAUAAAAUCAAGAGCUCGGCUAUGUGAUUUGUGCUGAUUAGUUUAAAUUUAGAAAUGAAAAAAAGGAAAUGCAUUUUUGUGUUCACAUAGCAUUAGUUGAUUGGCAGUUGAUCUCAUGU